rnacentral:rRNA from 1 species
UACAGAGGGGGCAAGCGUUAUUCGGAAUUAUUGGGCGUAAAGGGCGCGUAGGCGGCCAUUCAAGUGACGGGUGAAAGCCCUCGGCUUAACCGAGGAACUGCCUGUCAGACUGGAUGGCUUGAGACCGGGAGAGGUGAGUGGAAUUCCUGGUGUAGCGGUGAAAUGCGCAGAUAUCAGGAAGAACACCCGUGGCUAAGGCGGCUCUCUAGUACGGUACUGACGCUGAGACGCGAAAGCGUGGGGAGCGAACAGG